AUUGAACGCUGGCGGCAUGCCUUACACAUGCAAGUCGAACGGCAGCGGGCCUUCGGGUGCCGGCGAGUGGCGAACGGGUGAGUAAUGCAUCGGAACGUGCCAUUGAGUGGGGGAUAACGUAGCGAAAGUUGCGCUAAUACCGCAUAUUCUGUGAGCAGGAAAGCAGGGGACCGCAAGGCCUUGCGCUCUUUGAGCGGCCGAUGUCAGAUUAGCUAGUUGGUGAGGUAAAGGCUUACCAAGGCGACGAUCUGUAGCGGGUCUGAGAGGAUGAUCCGCCACACUGGAACUGAGACACGGUCCAGACUCCUACGGGAGGCAACAGUGGGGAAUUUUGGACAAUGGGGGCAACCCUGAUCCAGCCAUGCCGCGUGAGUGAAGAAGGCC
rnacentral:rRNA from 1 species